rnacentral:rRNA from 1 species
CCUACGGGUGGCAGCAGUGGGGAAUAUUGCACAAUGGGGGAAACUCUGAUCCAGCGACGCCGCGUGAGUGAGGAAGUAUUUCGGUAUGUAAAGCUCUAUUAGCAGGGACGAAAAAAGACGUUACUUGCCGAACAUGCCCUGACUAAAUAUGGGCAAGCAGCCGCGGCAAUCUGUAUGCGGCAAGCGUCAUCCGGAUGUACUGGGCGUAAAGGGAGCGUAGGCGGGGAGGCAAGCCAGCGGGGAAAGGGCCGGGCUCAACCGGGGGCAUGCAUUUGAAACUGGGGGGCUGGAGUGCAGAAGAGGUGAGUGGAAUUCCUUGUGUAGCGGUGAAAUGCGUAGAUAUUAGGAGGAACACUAGUGGCGAAGGCGGCUUACUGGACUGUAACUGACGUUGAGGCUCGAAAGCGUGGGGAGCAAACAGGAUUAGAUACCCUGGUAGUC